GCUUAGGUAGCCUAGCAGUUAAGGCAGCCCAUGCAUGUUGCAUCUGGUUGCUGGUUCAAAUCCGGCCCCAACUG